rnacentral:tRNA from 1 species
ACCUGGCUGGCUCAGUUGGUAGAGCAUGUGACUCUGUCUCAGGGUUGUGAGUUCUAGCCCCACGCUGGGUG